GAUGAACGCUGGCGGCGUGCCUAAUACAUGCAAGUCGAGCGAACAGACGAGGAGCUUGCUCCUCUGACGUUAGCGGCGGACGGGUGAGUAACACGUGGAUAACCUACCUAUAAGACUGGGAUAACUUCGGGAAACCGGAGCUAAUACCGGAUAAUAUAUUGAACCGCAUGGUUCAAUAGUGAAAGACGGUUUUGCUGUCACUUAUAGAUGGAUCCGCGCCGCAUUAGCUAGUUGGUAAGGUAACGGCUUACCAAGGCGACGAUGCGUAGCCGACCUGAGAGGGUGAUCGGCCACACUGGAACUGAGACACGGUCCAGACUCCUACGGGAGGCAGCAGUAGGGAAUCUUCCGCAAAAGGCGAAAGCCUGACGGAGCAACGCCGCGUGAGUGAUGAAGGUCUUCGGAUCGUAAAACUCUGUUAUUAGGGAAGAACAAAUGUGUAAGUAACUAUGCACGUCUUGACGGUACCUAAUCAGAAAGCCACGGCUAACUACGUG
rnacentral:rRNA from 1 species